CAUGGUGAUCAACAAUAAUUCCACCUUUACUCAUUUGGUUUUCUAACUCAUCAACUACUCUAUCUUCAUCUAAAAUGGGACAAUCCUACUCUUCCUCACAGCCAUCAUAUAACUGUCCUU